rnacentral:rRNA from 1 species
AACCAAGAAAUUUAGUCAUUCUUCUGCGGUAAAAAGACAGUUAAGCAAAAACAGUAUAAUCAUUAGAUCUUUAGUACAGGAGUAAAAUCCAAAUAUUGAAAGUUAUGCCGAGUAUGGUUUAUUUUCUUAGUGCUGAACCUGUGACAACUUUAAGGGAAACUGGGAUUGGAUACCCCAUUAUUUUUAGUCGUAAAUUUGGCUUAAGUUUACCAGAGCACUACGAAUAAAAAGUUUAAAACUCAAAGGGCUUGGCGGUGUUUUAGACCUCUCAGGGGAACCUGUCUCGUAAUCGACAAUCCACGUUAAACCUGACCCUUUAUAGCAAUUCAGCUUGUAUACCGUCGUCGCCAGGUAACUUCUUAAAAUAUAGUAGUUAGCUUGAGAAUUAUAUUAAUUAAAACGUCAGAUCAAGGUGCAGCUAAUAAAAGGGAGAGGAUGGGUUACAAUUACAUAUUUGUAAUUACGGCAAAACGCUUGAAAUAAAGUGUUUAAAAGGAGGACUUGAAAGUAAUUCUGACUAUAUAAACAGGAUGAAUAGGGCUCUGAAACGUGC